rnacentral:lncRNA from 1 species
UGCUGGGCAUCGGGUCCAGCAGGGUGCAUCUGCCGCUGGUGGGGCUGUUGCAGUUGGGCCGACCGGCUCUGUCCUCCACCCGGUGCUUUGCCAGCUACUGUGAGAAAGGAGGUGGCUGCUUCUCUCUCUGGUGACUGGACCUGCCUCGGGUGGAAACGCAGAGAGAGGAAUUGAGUCUUCCAGUGACUCCCACUUGCCCUGAGGCCUGCCUGAGCGGGGCCAGGAGGGGCCUAUUCUUGCCUUUGAAAUAGCUCGUGCAGUGGAGAAAGAGAGAACAUUCCAGGAGUCCCGCUGAGCCUGUGCCCAUGUGCUCCCCUGGCCCCCGUCUGGUUCUCCCCGACCACCUGUGCUUUUGUUGUUGGGAUGGGGACCAGAGGCCGUUGGGACAGAGGCCCCCACAGCACCAGGACUCUGAGCACCCCUGGCCCCCAUGGGCACGGUGUGUUGGCCUCAGGCAGUGCAAGGGUGUGGACUCAGGGCUGGGGUCCUGAGCAAGCCUGUGCCAUCGGCUCCUGACGUCCCCAAGCACGCGAUGCCUCGGGACUCGGGGGAUCUCGGCCACUCCGUCUCUGCUUCCCCGAGCGGGCACCACACCCAGGGGCUUCUUUCUUUCAGAGACGCCUGAGUGGGUACAGAUGGUCUGCUGAGUGGGCACAGAUGGUCUGGGCGGUCACCUGCUGCCUGGGGGAUGGGGUGGGGAGGGGCAGCCAAGCGAUCUGCGUGUCCAGGCCGGGCAGACGGGCGCGGUGGGCUCUCCUGUCUGUGGCUGGUUAUUUCUGUGCCGUCUGGUGGGCGUGUCUCUCUGGCUGUGGGUCCGGAGUGGGGGCUGAUGGUGGCUGCUGACCGGGGCCUCAGUCCCUCGCUGUUGGCUGGGGAGCCGCCGUGGGAUCAGGGAGCCUGUGAGGCACUGGGCUUCCUCUCUGAAGUGCAUCAGGGAUCUGCGGGGCCUCCCCCGCCGAAGGCUUGUCUCAGGCUCCAGGAACGGUGCUCUGGGCCCUGCCCAGA